UUAAGUGACUAAGCGUACAAGGUGGAUGCCUUGGCAAUCAGAGGCGAAGAAGGACGUGCUAAUCUGCGAAAAGCUUGGAUGAGUCGAUAAGAGGCGCUUAAUCCAAGAUAUCCGAAUGGGGAAACCCAGUAGAUGAAGAAUCUACUAUCAACAAGUGAAUUCAUAGCUUGUUGAGGCAAACCGGGAGAACUGAAACAUCUAAGUACCCCGAGGAAAAGAAAUCAACCGAGAUUUCGUCAGUAGCGGCGAGCGAAAGCGAAAGAGCCAGUAAGUGAUAACAGUAUGGUUAGGAGAAUGUGUUGGGAAGCACAAUCAAAGAGGGUGAUAAUCCCGUAUCUAAAAACCAUAUUGUGGUACUAAGCUAACGAGAAGUAGGGCGGGACACGUGAUAUCCUGUUUGAAGAAGGGGGGACCAUCCUCCAAGGCUAAAUACUCCUGAUUGACCGAUAGUGAACCAGUACUGUGAAGGAAAGGCGAAAAGAACCCCGGUGAGGGGAGUGAAAUAGAACCUGAAACCUUGUACGUACAAGCAGUGGGAGCCCCAUCACUUAAUCCGAUUGGAAGGUGAUGAAAAGCAACCGCACUUAAACAAUGGUAAGAGGAGCGAAGCGAGUCAAACCACCCAAAAGAAGCAGUGGGAUUAAGUGAUGGGGUGACUGCGUACCUUUUGUAUAAUGGGUCAGCGACUUAUAUUUUGUAGCGAGGUUAACUGAAUAGGGGAGCCGAAGGGAAACCGAGUCUUAACUGGGCGAGUAGUUGCAAGGUAUAGACCCGAAACCCGGUGAUCUAGCCAUGGGCAGGUUGAAGGUUGGGUAACACUAACUGGAGGACCGAACCGACUAAUGUUGAAAAAUUAGCGGAUGACUUGUGGCUGGGGGUGAAAGGCCAAUCAAACCGGGAGAUAGCUGGUUCUCCCCGAAAUCUAUUUAGGUAGAGCCUUGAGGUGACACCUUUGGGGGUAGAGCACUGUUUCGGCUAGGGGGCCAUCCCGGCUUACCAACCCGAUGCAAACUACGAAUACCAAAGAGUGAUACUCAGGAGACACACGGCGGGUGCUAACGUCCGUCGUGGAGAGGGAAACAACCCAGACCGCCAGCUAAGGUCCCCAAGUCUAUAUUAAGUGGGAAACGAAGUGGGAAGGCUUAGACAGCUAGGAUGUUGGCUUAGAAGCAGCCAUCAUUUAAAGAAAGCGUAAUAGCUCACUAGUCGAGUCGGCCUGCGCGGAAGAUGUAACGGGGCUGAAAUAUAGCACCGAAGCUGCGGCAUCAGAAUUUAUUCUGUUGGGUAGGGGAGCGUUGUGUAAGCGGAAGAAGGUUCAUCGAGAGGUGGGCUGGACGUAUCACAAGUGCGAAUGCUGACAUAAGUAACGAUAAAACGGGUGAAAAACCCGUUCGCCGGAAGACCAAGGGUUCCUGUCCAACGUUAAUCGGGGCAGGGUGAGUCGGCUCCUAAGGCGAGGCUGAAAAGCGUAGUCGAUGGGAAACAGGUUAAUAUUCCUGUACUUGGUAAAGCUGCGAUGUGGGGACGGAGUAGGUUAGGUUAUCGCACUGUUGGAUAUGUGCGUUUAAGUUGGUAGGUGGGAAGUUUAGGCAAAUCCGGGCUUCCUUAACACAGAGAGAUGAUGACGAGGCUCUACGGAGCUGAAGUAACUGAUACCACACUUCCAGGAAAAGCCACUAAGCGAAAGGCUUUACUAAACCGUACUGAAAACCGACACAGGUGGUCAGGUAGAGAAUACUCAGGCGCUUGAGAGAACUCGGGUGAAGGAACUAGGCAAAAUAGCACCGUAACUUCGGGAGAAGGUGCGCCGGCGUAGAUUGUAAGGGCUAGCCCCUGAAGGUUGAACCGGUCGAAGAUACCAGCUGGCUGCAACUGUUUAUUAAAAACACAGCACUCUGCAAACACGAAAGUGGACGUAUAGGGUGUGAUGCCUGCCCGGUGCUGGAAGGUUAAUUGAUGGUGUAAUCGCAAGAGAAGCACCUGAUCGAAGCCCCAGUAAACGGCGGCCGUAACUAUAACGGUCCUAAGGUAGCGAAAUUCCUUGUCGGGUAAGUUCCGACCUGCACGAAUGGCAUAAUGAUGGCCAGGCUGUCUCCACCCGAGACUCAGUGAAAUUGAAAUCGCCGUGAAGAUGCGGUGUACCCGCGGCUAGACGGAAAGACCCCGUGAACCUUUACUAUAGCUUGACACUGAACAUUGAAUUUUGAUGUGUAGGAUAGGUGGGAGCCUUUGAAGCAGUGACGCCAGUCAUUGUGGAGGCGACCUUGAAAUACCACCCUUUAACGUUUGAUGUUCUAACGAAGAUGACGAAACGUGGUCUCGGACAGUGUCUGGUGGGUAGUUUGACUGGGGCGGUCUCCUCCCAAAGCGUAACGGAGGAGCACGAAGGUUUGCUAAUCACGGUCGGACAUCGUGAGGUUAGUGCAAUGGUAUAAGCAAGCUUAACUGCGAGACAGACAAGUCGAGCAGGUACGAAAGUAGGUCAUAGUGAUCCGGUGGUUCUGAAUGGAAGGGCCAUCGCUCAACGGAUAAAAGGUACUCCGGGGAUAACAGGCUGAUACCGCCCAAGAGUUCAUAUCGACGGCGGUGUUUGGCACCUCGAUGUCGGCUCAUCACAUCCUGGGGCUGAAGUAGGUCCCAAGGGUAUGGCUGUUCGCCAUUUAAAGUGGUACGCGAGCUGGGUUUAGAACGUCGUGAGACAGUUCGGUCCCUAUCUGCCGUGGGCGUUGGAUGAUUAAUUGGGGCUGCUCCUAGUACGAGAGGACCGGAGUGGACGCAUCACUGGUGUUCCAGUUGUCUCGCCAGAGGCAUUGCUGGGUAGCUAAGUGCGGAAGAGAUAAGUGCUGAAAGCAUCUAAGCACGAAACUUGCCAAGAGAUGAGUCAUCCCUGACUUUAAGUCAGUAAGGGUUGUUGUAGACUACGACGUAGAUAGGUCUGGUGUGUAAGUGUAGUGAUAUAUUGAGCUAACAGAUACUAAUUGCCCGAGAGGCUUAACUAU
rnacentral:rRNA from 1 species